rnacentral:rRNA from 1 species
UAUAGCCUACGGGACGCAGCAGUGGGGAAUAUUGCACAAUGGGCGAAAGCCUGAUGCAGCAACGCCGCGUGAAGGAAGAAGGCCUUCGGGUCGUAAACUUCUGUCCUUGGGGAAGAAGAACUGACGGUACCCAAGGAGGAAGCCCCGGCUAACUACGUGCCAGCAGCCGCGGUAAUACGUAGGGGGCAAGCGUUAUCCGGAUUUACUGGGUGUAAAGGGAGCGCAGGCGGCGCGGUAAGUCUGAUGUGAAAGCCCGGGGCUCAACCCCGGGACUGCAUUGGAAACUGUCGUGCUGGAGUGUCGGG